rnacentral:rRNA from 1 species
GACAGAGGGUGCAAACGUUGUUCGGAAUUACUGGGCGUAAAGCGUGCGCAGGCGGCUUUGCAAGACAGAUGUGAAAUCCCCGGGCUUAACCUGGGAACUGCAUUUGUGACUGCAAGGCUCGAGUGCGGCAGAGGAGACUGGAAUUCCUGGUGUAGCAGUGAAAUGCGUAGAUAUCAGGAGGAACACCGAUGGCGAAGGCAGGUCUCUGGGCUGACACUGACGCUCAUGCACGAAAGCGUGGGGAGCAAACAGG